GCCGGAGUGGCGGAAUUGGUAUACGCGNNAGGGAUGGAGGUUCAAGUCCUCUCUCCGGCACAA
rnacentral:tRNA from 1 species